UCAGGAAUAAUUUUUAGUGUAAGUAUAUUCCAUGCAAUAUAUGGGACAUACUUAUACUAAAAAAUUAUUUGUUCCCUGAAAU
rnacentral:miRNA from 1 species